UUUAUUUUGAUUGAGCUUUCUCAACUCACAGAUAAAAAUGCAAUAAGAUUACAAAUCAAACUAUACAGUCAAACAACUUCAAUAAAGAAGUCCAAGAGAGCAAAACUGCCUUCUCUGUGGGAGGGGCAUACUCUCUCUCUCCCUCCCUCCCUCCCUACCUCUCCUGAUUGGUGUGUGUCACUGUGAGCUCAUGUAUGCAGAAGAGGGCGGAUAGCGCUUUGCUGAGAGUAUGUUACAUUUCCCUGUGAUGCAACGUAAGCAGCAAUUUGAAAGGGAAAAGAAAAAAAAAACGCUGUCGGCUGGCUUCACUGUGGCUUAGUGGUUAGCACGCUCGCCCUACACCUCCAGGGUUGCAAGCUGAUUGGCAUUUCCAAAUUGUCCGUAGCGUGUGAAUGGGUUUGCGCCCCGUCCAGGGUGUCCUCCACCUUGUGGGUGUGCCCUGGACUAGGCUCCCUGCGACCUGUGUAGGAUAAGCGGUAUGGAAAAUGGAUGGAUAGAUAGCUGAAAGCUAUCUAUCCAUCUGUGAGUUGCAGUCACAGUCAACAGGUGUAACUUUUGCUUGGUGCAUUGUGCGUGAACCAUCUUCUCUAGAACCUAUUUAGCCAUUAUGAGCGCCUUAGCUCCUUCUGUGCAAGCAGGCCAAGGUGCUCAAGCGUCAUGAUUUGGCGAGGCAUUUCUAAUCGUUCGGACCCCAUGUUUUAAGUGUAAAGACCAUGUCAUUGGACCAGGCCCAUUAAAAGAGUGUACAACCUGCACGUGGUCAAACGGUACAUUAUAACGUAAGAAAUCAGUGUCUAGUAAAUUGUGCAAGACAGUGGUUCAGACCUCAGUACUUCCGUUGGGGAAGUACUACAUUCAGCAUGCGCAUACAGCGUUGUUCUUUUGGGAGUGAAGGAUGCAUGAAGCUCUCUACCAAUCAGCUGCCUCUGCGGCUUUUUCUUCUGUCAAACAGCUCAUCAGAAUGACCGAGUCGCAAAUCUGACCGAGUUGCUGGAAUCUCUGGGAGUUUCAGGCAGCUACCAGUUUCCACGGUUGCUCCAUUAACACUGGCUGCUCUGUUCCGUUUGGGCCAACUGCAGUCUAUUAUACAAAAGUGUCUUUUAUAUAACUUCCAGUCAGACACUGGUUGUUGUUUUUUUGGCGUAUCAGACUUUUACCUGGCGCACCUCUUCGUUUCUACACAGACGUAUUGUUAAGGAUAAUUAGACCAGAUUUGAUAUAAUUGUGACGCUAUAGUUACGGUUGUUGAUUUCCAAGUGAGCCAGAGGUGAACAGGAAUUGAGGUGAACAGCCUCAGGAACACGGCACAAGAACAUAAGCAGUUUGUUUUGGAUUAGACUGAGUGAUCAGUGACAAGGGUUUCUGGAACGUAAAGGGCAGAGCUUUAAGUAAAAUUCAAUACUAGUCAUACCGUCAAUAUGUGACAUCACUGCUGACCUUCUCAUUUCUUUGGCUGGACACGCCGCUUAUGAGAAAAAAGCUGCUUUUUCUUAUACACACACAGUAUAGUAGCUGAGCAACAUUAGCUAAGAUAAUCAUCCAGCUAGUUAGCUUAGCUUGAAUUAAAGUUACUUUGGUAGCUUAACACUAGCUAAUGGUUUAUUAACAUAUUAACUAGCUAGGUUCACCAACAAGCUCACUAAUUAUUAGUUAACUACUUUAUUUCGUAAUUAACACUGGUAGUUAGAUAAUGUUAGACUAGCUUAUUAGCUCAUAUGAACUACAUAAGCUAGCUUAUGGUAGCUUAACUACUUUAUUUUAUAAUGAACACCGAUGGCUAGCUUGGCAAACAAGAUAGUUGAUGUUAGCCUAACAUGCUAGCUAACGUUAGGUUAACUAUUUUGUAAUUAACCCUGAUGGAUAGAUAGGUUCACAAACGAGCUCUCUAAUGCUUGGUUAACGAUUUUAUUUUGUAAUAAACUCUAGGCUGUUCGGAUGACAAGCUAGCAAAUACAAGGUUAACUACUUUAUUUUGUCGUUAACGCUGGUCGCUAGGUUCACUUGGUUGCACCAGUUACAUCCCCACCCUUUGCAUAAUCUGAGCUGCUUUUCACCUGUACCGAACCUCGUGAUUAGCGAACACAAUAGUAAGGCCUUGGGCCGGUCUGUGGUGAAACUGAAUAGUUUCCUGAGGAGGAAACCAGUCCGGCUCUGGCUGCACUUUAUACAUGUUUACACACCCACAUCUCAAAGUCUACCAGUGGAUCAUUUCUGAAAGCACAUACUCAACAGAGCGCUUUGUUUGCUUUCUAGUCGCAUAGAUCAGCCUCGUCUUUGUUUGAGUGUGGUCCGAUCUUAAAGAGGCCCGUCUGCCACAGAACCGGGGACAUAAAAAGAGCUAUUCAGUUGAGCAAACAAUUAAUUACACAAAGGCUACGAGGACGAGUCGCAAAAUUGUGACGCAAAGAUUCGAGAAAAACAGGCCGAGAGACUGAAGUUCACUCUGACCUCGAGAGCUGGUUCACGCCAGAUUAUUCAUGCUCACCCAAGUGUGCCUGAGAUCACGCAUUUACACAUGGGAAUGCUCCUGUCAUUCAUUGUGCCCGUACUCAUUUUGUAGUGUCAUUAAAACAGUUAGUUAGUAAUAUACAUUAGUUAGCUAAAGAACAUCUUUUGAUAUGGAGCUUAAACUGUAAACUGAAUUUUCAUAAGUUCAAAGGUUCAGUCAGGGAUUGCACAAAAUUCUUGGAAGUGCUGGACUCGUCAUUUUGGCAAUUUUAAGCAUAAUAGAAAAUAACAUUGGCAAUUGGCCCUUUUUUUCAAACCCCAGAUCAUACAUUUAUCCAUCGUUCCCCUGAACACGGAAGUCUCGCCCGGAUCAUACCGGAAGCCUGUUUUAUAUUUCCGUUCUCCGGUGUUUAUAAUCAAAUUAGCGUAUGUUCCUAUCUGAUACUGCGACGUUAAACGUGUGAAAAUGGCUUUAAAAAAAAAAGUGCCGAAACUUUUACAGUAUUGCAUUGACCGUGUUUUGACAGUACUUCACCCGUGAAAACUUGAAUAACUGUUCAGAUGAUCUGACGCCAUGGCCCGAGGUUAGCUACGGUGAUAUAAUUAACUACGUCGUUUUCUCUGUAGGUGUUCGUGGCGAAGAACUCCGAAAUUAUAACAAGCACAGAAGUAUAUAAUCACCUGCAGGGCAAUAAAACAGGCCAGGAUUUGUACAGGAAACAUUAUUUUUUUGAAAGCGGGCAGCUUGGGUAACUAGCUUUCGCUGCUAGUCGUCAUACUUUUUAUCCAUUUAUAGUUACAUUUAAUGUUGUAGAACAUACCUGUCUGCGAAACAAGUACAUAAAUAAACAAUCAUGCUCAGAACCUGACACUAAAGACUCCUAGACACAAUCCAGAUGCUCUCAUUUGACACCCGCUGCUCUAUUUCAGUCCUUUAAACCAAACAAAAGGAAAAAAAAAAAAAAGUCAGUGCUCGUAAAGUCCUGGAAUUUCAUUGAGAAGUUUAGGUGUAAAUCCUGAUUUGGUCACCCUGUAUAUAAUUUCUGAUAAACCCCAUGACAGGUGUGCUGUUACUAUUGCACUGAAGUAACAAGCAUUUACUGCACUUCUCGUGCCAUGACCCCGAGUUGAAAUGGCCUCCAUGGUUACCGAGGCAUUGCUGUUUGUUAAAGGUGGUCGUAAACUGAACGUUGUAUCCUUCCACAUCCUUCCAUAAGGCACGUCCUGUUGAAAAUAAAAUCGGACAAUAAGGGGACUUGUGGACGCAUUAGCCAUGUUUCCAUGUUAAGAGUUUAAUCAGACGAAACAUAAUGACCUCCUAAGAAACGUAUUUCUUAGUGAAUAGAGACGGAUAAGUAGUUAUUUAUAUAUAGUUAGUGACCGCGUGUGUGUUAAAUCUCAGAACUGUCCGAGACGAUAUCGAGUCGUCGAUUGAGAUGCUUAAUCCGGAACCGUUAACGGGUGCUGUACGAGGACCGAAUCGAGUCUGAAUCCCUUUCACGUUGGGAUAUUUGUGGCAGCCUGAGCAAAUCCGUUUCGUUUAACCGUACACUUGUCAGUAGAUUUCCUUUCAGAAGGUCAACUAGUUUCAGGUUCAGUUUCAGGUUCAACUUCCAGCAUCGAAACAGCAACCAUGUCGUAUCUUUAGAUUACUGUAAAGGAGCAGAUUCAAAGUCAAAGAACUUUACUCCAAAUGUCAUGUUUGAUGUUCAAAGUUUGCUUGUUUUUUCUUUUUUUUUUUUUCUUUUUUCCUCUCCCCUUUUUUGUUCUGCACUGGUGCUAGAAGUUGAUUACAUAUCCAACAGCAUUAACCUUGUAGCACCAACAACAAUGCCGGCCUAUUUAAAGUGCGGUUGGAUCACUUUUUGGGCGUGGUGUGUAUAUUAAGUUUAUUUUUGGCUAAAUUUAAAAAAAAAAAUAUAUUUGCUUUAAUAUAUUUAAUGGAAAUAAUGUUAUAUAAUAUAAUGGUACGGAAGAACGCAGGAGUGUAUGUAUGUUCAAUCUUGUGGGAAAAAAACUUUACAAUAAUCCCCUUCAUCUCACUUUAAUUGUAAUUUCCUUUCUGUUUCAAUAUCGAUCACAAUAUCAAACUGUUUGUCUGUCUUACCCCCCAGGAAGAUAAGCUCUGUUUUACAAUUCCACUCACCUUAAGUGAACUCGGUACCGGCGCAGGUUUUGUCUUGCUGGGUUUUUCUCAGCAGGGAAGCAAGUCAUGUGCUUUGAAAACAUGAACCGACAGUUUCUAAGUUGCCGUUGCUUGCACAUGUCGUGUAUGUACGAGUGCGUUUUUUUUUUUUUUUUUUUUUCUUCACACGCUGUCAGCAUUAUAGCAUUAAGUGGAAUACACACACUAAUCCCGUUUUAUUCUAUAGUAUAUACAUAUCAGAUGUAUAUCUUUUCAGUAUUGUGGAGGAACAUGUAUGGGUUAGAACUGAUCCUGUACGCUGACUGGUGUUGGUUUGAUUAAAACCAGGAACUUCAUCCUUUUUAUCUUUUCUCAAAGUACAGACGUAACAUUAAUCGGACCCUGACCAGUCCCUCCGGGAUUUGGCGAUUUUUGCGAUCGCAGAAAUUGCAGCAAAAUCGAGCAAACUUCGCAAUAUUCGGAGGAGCUUGGAAUUUUCCCAGAAUUUCCGCAGGCUUGGGCGCGUUCAACCGAAGCCCUCUUCGAUGCUCGUGUGUUGAACACGAGUAGAACUAAAAGCUCUAAUUUGCGAACAGACAUCACUGCGAAAUACCGUGCGAAACAAUUGCGUGCGAUUUUGCAAUUUCGCCAAUUCAAGGAAAAGAAAAAGAAAAAAAAAACGCACAAAAAUGUCUGAACUGCAUCGCAACUUUGAAAAAAAUCAAGCAUUUUUGGCCACAACAAUCACACGUUUAUACAAAAGAUCACACAUCUGGGUUGGGCCAAUCAACGUCACACGUUCACGACCUAAAAUAAAUCAGAUAUUCCAGUAUUUAAAAUCCGAUCUAAUACUAUCCUACCAGCCCUGUACUAACUACUAACCGAUACUCAGUAAUGGAUCAGUUCAUGCUUAGUAUUUAUUAUUUAUAAAGAUAAUCCUUGCCAUUUUUAACGGGACAGAGAGAUCUCCAUGGUUACGUUCUGAACAAUUUGGCUUGAAACUGGCUCACUGAAGAGCUAUAAAUCUUCCUAACAAACCCUUCGAUCCGUUACGGUGUCUUGAAGAAUGUUACAUGUUCAAGAGCUCAGCACACUACCGUUCACUUGCUUAUCGACUCGACUCGACUCUCGUGCACACUGCCCAGGCUUUUAUUGUUUUUUCUUCACGCAUUCCUGAGGACGUCCAGCUGUGUGUAUUAACACAGCUUUGUUUUUUAAACCUGUACCAUACACCAGGCGUCCAACAGAACGACUCUGCGUGAAUGAAGAAUAAUAAUAAUAAUAAUAAUAAUAAUAACUGCUUCAUCCUCUUAGUGAUCUGUGAAAAAGUCUCAACCAGAAGACGUUGCUUUCCGUAAAGCUGCUUUGUGACAAUGUCUAUCGUUAAAAGCACUAGACGAAUAAAAUCCACUUUUAAGAGUAAUAAAGAUUCCUGAUUCGGAUUAGACCCCCCCCCCAGCUUAGGAGUGCCUUAUGACUGGUUGUAAACACACCAGGCUGGGUUGGUGUGUCUGACCUUUGGGGUGUUUCUCACACGCCUCACCUGAUUGGCCACCGCUGAUAGGCAUCUCUUUUGUGCGACCAAUAAUAGGAGCGGAGGCUCCAUACCGGUGAGGGUGGUUUUAUUCAAAGCAUACGAGGACUCCGAGGAUGGAGUUUCCAGCUGCUCCUAUUGGCCACACACACACACACACACACGCGCACACACACACACACACUCUCUCCCUGUAGAAGAACAUAAACAGUGUGUCGGUUCUCAUGCGCACCACCUGCUUGUCUUUCACACGCCUGCCAUGGGAAAGAACGACAGAGUUGCAGACAGAGAAGGAUGUUGGAUCCGUAUAAAGCUGUUGGAGAAACCUGAUGUGUAUUUAGGAGGAAGUGUGUAGAUUUGACUGUUCUGGUGGAUCUGUGUCAUGUCCAUCUCCGCUUCUUCCAGCGUUUCAGGGUCUGUAAUCUCCGCAUCUGACCUUUCACCCCCGUACUCCCUACACGCUCGUCCUCUGAAGAGUCACGGUCAUCGACCUUAAUCUUUUUUGUCGUUGUUUGUUUUAUUUCAUUUUUUUUCCCCCUGUGUUUGGAUCAGUGCAGACUAGUUUGAAAUUUUCAUCAGAUCGUUUAAAAGCACGUCUGGCGUCCGAAGUGCGUUUUCUUUAGUUUUGUACUUGAGCUCCAAGGCUUUCAGGUCAACGCAGUGAGACCGUUUGUACAUGACGUUUUAUGAAAAAGAUCACUUCCCGUAUAAAAGUCAGACUUCAAACCUCAUAAAUCUGAAAGUCGCGCAUAACAGUGUGCCAUAAGCCAUAUAAUCAGGUCUGAUUGAGGUACUGUACAGCUCCACCUGGUUUGUGGUGAGUGUGUGACGAUUGAGAGAAAUAAUUUGCAGGUUGGCCUCGUCGCACCUGUGCAGAUUUCAGACUAUUUCUUCGUUGAUUGAGUGAGAAAACUGUGCGAAUUAUUACUCGGGAAUGUUGGACUGAGAAAUCCAAGAGUUGAGGAUGCCUCAGCUGUUUGCUCGGUAAGGGAUUUGUGUAUGAGUGGGGGGAGAGAGAGGGAAAGAUGGAGAGAAACAGACAGAUAGAGAAAGGGAGAGGAGGGAUACAAACACUGAGGGAGAGCGAGAGAGAGAGCGCGAGAGAGGGACAGUGAGACAAAGCAACAGAGAGAGAAACACAGAGAAAGGUGGUGAGAGAGAGAGAGGGGGAAAGAUUAAGAGAAACAGAAAAACAGAUAGGGCAAGAAAGAGACAGAUAGAUAGAGAAAGGGAGAGGAGGGAUACAAACACUGAGGGAGAGCAUGAGAGAGAGAGAGGGGGACAGUGAGACAAAACAACAGAGAGAAACAGAGAAAGGUGGCGAGAGAGAGGAAUGGAAAAAGAAAUGGGGGGAGAGAGAGAUGGACAUAAGGUGGGAGAGAGACAGAGGGGGACAGUGAGACAAA